rnacentral:lncRNA from 1 species
ACCCUUGAAUCCUGGAGCUCGUUGAAUUAGUUGGUGACCAGAUUCUUCCCAAUGGAAAGAAAGGAAGGUCUUGAGCGCAAAAUCCAUAACAGACCCUUAGAUAAAGAGGGAUUGGAAGAGAGUGGAUUCGGGUCCAGAUGUCAUGGUUGAUGAGAUUUUACAUACAGAUUUUCCUGUACAGUUUUAGACAAACAACAUUUUACUCACCAUUUUAGGAAAACACAUUUAUCCAAAAGAGGAGGUGAUUUUUGGUUUGGAAAGAGGAGUGUUUUUCCAUCAGUUAUUUUGAGGGGAGGGGUUUGGGGAUGAACUUGGGAUGUGGGCUGGGGGAUGGUGAGGGGAACCAGCUGAGGGGCUGGAAGGCAGCCCUCUCAUCAUGCGAUCACCUGUUGCUUGGCAAGUGACUUUCAGAGGAAGCAUUUUAAGAAGAUUAAGAGCCGCAGGCUUGCAGGGCAACAGUGUGAUUCCUGCUAUUUUCAGGGCACCGACAGUGUUCCCCUCACACCCAGGUCGGCAGUAGCGCAGAGACACAGCCCGGACACUCGGCGGAUGUGGCGCCCGGAAGUGCGGACGGUGGUCUGUCUGGGUCCUCUGUUGAGCUUGCUCAUCUUGGGAUCGCCCAGUCGCUCGAUGGGGCGUGCCGGCGGCCUGCGUCCGUGUGUCACCUGCCCGCCUCUCAGCAGCAAGGAACGGAGCUUCAGCACCUCUUCAGUAAUGAUGAUGAAACUGGUAUUAACUGAAUGGCAUUUAUGGAUUUUUAACUCUAAUUCACAGUAAGCCAGAAAGCCAUAUGUUCAAUCCAACCAAAAAUCAUUCUGUUUUGCUGCGUGUCUCAUCCGAUUGUGAGAAGUUUCAAGAUACCUGUUUGUACAAAGAGGAAUAUAAGUGUUACUUGCCGGAGGAGCACAGCUGAAGCAGAAAGCGAAGACGUCUUAAUUUAUCCUUAAAGAUAUAUGAUAGAAUUAUUUAUUUAGAUAGAGUAAAGAGAUAUAUAUAUUUUUUUGGUGGUGAUGAAAAUGGCUCCAUGAAAUGCCGAUGCAGAAUCUAUGCAAGUUCAGGAGCUCCGGUGCCCUGCCAGACCUCCA